rnacentral:rRNA from 1 species
GACGAACGCUGGCGGCGUGCUUAACACAUGCAAGUCGAACGGAAAGGCCCUGCUUGCCGGGUGCUCGAGUGGCGAACGGGUGAGUAACACGUGGGUGAUCUGCCCCUUACUUUGGGAUAAGCCUGGGAAACUGGGUCUAAUACUGGAUAGGACCAUGCUGUAGGUGGUGUGGUGGAAAGAUUAGUUUCGGUAAGGGAUGAGCUCGCGGCCUAUCAGCGUGUUGGUGGGGUAAUGGCCUACCAAGGCGUCGACGGGUAGCCGGCCUGAGAGGGUGGACGGCCACAUUGGGACUGAGAUACGGCCCAGACUCCUACGGGAGGCAGCAGUGGGGAAUAUUGCACAAUGGGCGCAAGCCUGAUGCAGCGACGCCGCGUGGGGGAUGACGGCCUUCGGGUUGUAAACUCCUUUCAGCCAUGACGAAGCCCUUGUGGUGACGGUAGUGGUAGAAGAAGCACCGGCUAACUACGUG